rnacentral:rRNA from 1 species
AUUGAACGCUGGCGGCAGGCCUAACACAUGCAAGUCGAACGGUAACAGGAAGCAGCUUGCUGCUUUGCUGACGAGUGGCGGACGUGUGAGUAAUGUCUGUGAAACUGCCUGAUGGAGGGGGAUAACUACUGGAAACGGUAGCUAAUACCGCAUAACGUCGCAAGACCAAAGAGGGGGACCUUCGGGCCUCUUGCCAUCGGAUGUGCCCAGAUGGGAUUAGCGAGUAGGUGGGGUAACGGCUCACCUAGGCGACGAUCCCUAGCUGGUCUGAGAGGAUGACCAGCCACACUGGAACUGAGACACGGUCCAGACUCCUACGGGAGGCAGCAGUGGGGAAUAUUGCACGAUGGGCGCAAGCCUGAUGCAGCCAUGCCGCGUGUAUGAAGAAGGCCUUCGGGUUGUAAAGUACUUUCAGCGGGGAGGAAGGGAGUAAAGUUAAUACCUUUGCUCAUUGACGUUACCCGCAGAAGAAGCACCGGCUAACUCCGUG